rnacentral:rRNA from 1 species
AGUGAACGCUGGCGGUAGGCCUAACACAUGCAAGUCGAACGGCAGCACAGUAAGAGCUUGCUCUUACGGGUGGCGAGUGGCGGACGGGUGAGGAAUACAUCGGAAUCUACCUUUUCGUGGGGGAUAACGUAGGGAAACUUACGCUAAUACCGCAUACGACCUACGGGUGAAAGCAGGGGAUCUUCGGACCUUGCGCGAUUGAAUGAGCCGAUGUCGGAUUAGCUAGUUGGCGGGGUAAAGGCCCACCAAGGCGACGAUCCGUAGCUGGUCUGAGAGGAUGAUCAGCCACACUGGAACUGAGACACGGUCCAGACUCCUACGGGAGGCAGCAGUGGGGAAUAUUGGACAAUGGGCGCAAGCCUGAUCCAGCCAUACCGCGUGGGUGAAGAAGGCCUUCGGGUUGUAAAGCCCUUUUGUUGGGAAAGAAAGGCAGCAGGUUAAUACCCCGCUGUUCUGACGGUACCCAAAGAAUAAGCACCGGCUAACUUCGUG